UUUAUGAAAUUCCAGAUUGUGUCAAGUAGAGUACAUUUUUCAGCAGAUUCAUAAUGUCACAAAAGGGAUUUGCUCUGUGUCCAAGAUGAUAUUUGAGAUUGAGGCUUCAAAUGAGUUAAGCAUUGUGAUUAGGAGAGGGAGGGUGAAAAGCUUUUAAUGACUCUAUUUAGGAGUUAUUGUGGGUGGUUUUGAGGGCAGCAGGGUGAGAAACAGUGUCUACAGCACACAAGCUCAUCCAUUGCAGUCAGAGAAAUGCUAUGUAACUUUCUCUCUCUAACCCAGGUGCCACUCACAAUAACACCCUUGGACUCAGUGUGAAGCCAGAGACUCAAGGACCUAGGCACACUCAGGAGAGGACAAGUAGCCGACUUGCUGGGAGUUGGCCCAUAUAACACAAAGCUCAUAUGUUGUUUUUGGUUUACUUUAUUGCAGCUGACUGAGAGGUUAACAGGCAAUUGUGGCAGAGGUGCUCUGAGGCAUACUCAUUUCAGAUGCAGAUGGAUAAAAUCCAUAGCAGAGCACCCCAUCCCAGGAAGUAAAGGCAUAUAGCAACAGUCAAGUUCAAGUGGGCAAGGCAAUCUGCUCAGGUUAUGCCAAGCCCCUGUCAUCAACCGGCCGAUGGACCAGGUUGCUUCUGAGUAGCCCUCAGGAAUGACCAAGGAGUUGUGGUGAGUCGGGGAGGUAUCGAGGAGGAGCCGGGGUCCGCUCAGUUCUCAGCUGUGCUACAUCACCUCGUCUCCUCUGAGACGACAGCGUCAGUCUCGGAGCACAGCUGAAGCGUGUGGCCCGAGGAGCCGGUCACUCUUAGGAGG